rnacentral:rRNA from 1 species
CCCGGUGACUUUGCCUGGAUGGCCAUACCCGUUCCCAUUCCGAACACGGCCGUCAAGCAUCCAGGGCCUCGUAUGCGCAAGCAUACGGGGC